AUUGAACGCUGGCGGCAGGCCUAACACAUGCAAGUCGAACGAGUGGCGGACGGGUGAGUAAUGUCUGGGAAACUGCCCGAUGGAGGGGGAUAACUACUGGAAACGGUAGCUAAUACCGCAUACCAUCGGAUGUGCCAAGAUGGGAUUAGCUAGUAGGUGGGGUAACGGCUCACCUAGGCAACGAUCCCUAGCUGGUAUGAGAGGAUGACCAGCCAACCUGGAAGUUAGUCACGGUCCAGACUCCUACGGGAGUCAGCAGUGGGGAAUAGUGCACAAUGGGCGCAAGCCUGAUGCAGCCAUGCCGCGUGUAUGAAGAAGGCCUUCGGGUUGUAAAGUACUUUCAGCGAGGAGGCGUUACUCGCAGAAGAAGCACCGGCUAACUCCGUGCCAGCAGCCGCGGUAAUUC
rnacentral:rRNA from 1 species